GACAUUAUGGCGAAGUGGUUAAGGCGACGAAUCAGAAUCGUACAGGCAGUAUAUGUUUCCCUCUGGGAUCCGGAGCGUACGUUCGAACCCUGCUAGUGUCG